UUAGCCGCCAGAUCCGACCGACCAACUGGAAACCGCCCCAAUGUGUCGGUACGACUCCCCUCGGGAUGUCGUACCCCUGCCCUGUUCAAAACGCUGGCGCAAUAGGCUUUUGGUGGUUUAUCCUUCAGCGAUUUUUGUCAUCAAGCCGCAGACAUGGCAUCCACCUGUAUUUUUGAGGUUACGGGUAUCACUACAAAUCUACAGCCCGUUUCUUUCUUCCUGAGAGAAAUUAUAUCUUUAUGUUCGAUUUGAUAUGUUCCCAUGUAUCGAAAAGAUUGUUCUUUAUUCUCCGUCUCCGUCUCUUAUCGUAUUGGGAUAUGUACAAAUUGCUGUGAAGUUGCUACCUUUGCUUGAUUUGUCCCGUGAAUUGAAAGAUUUUUUGGGGUCUAUUGUAAUCAAAGUGUCACCUGAGAAAAUUCUAGGCUUGUAUUGAUUUGAUGGGGAAGUUCUUACAAAUUGAAAAGUUUGGCUCGUCAUAUUUUUUUCCUUACUCGUCUUCUUGUGAAAUCAUUGAGUGCAUAUUUUUUUUUCCUCAUAAUGAAAUUUUGGAUCUUUAUGCACUAAAUUUUCUUCCGUGAUUGCUGGCACUUUGCUGCUUGGCUCGUCACUGUAUAAACGAGCUUUCCUCAGGUAUACUGGUCUGUUGUUUUGAGCUCCUUCGCAUUCUAUAAUUCUAAUCCUUGUUGGAAGCAUAGACUUCUAGCUGUCAUCAUGCUCACAGGAUAGGAGAAGAAUGCCUAAAAUAUGCUCAUACUUGAGUUGAAAACAAAGAAUCACCCUCUAUGCCAAACCAAAUUGUUUAUGAGUUUCUGAACAAUGCUCAGUAAGGUUGGUUUAUAGGAGCCAACCAUGAUUAAUUGCUUGAUCAGAUUCAACGCUCUUAGCACCCGUUGAGAGGAUGAGGUCGGAGCUAGUUCAUCGGUUAUCUUCAUAGUCAGGAAGGAAGCUUUCGUGGCCAGUGUUGCAAAUACACAACUGUACACCUGCAGUCAUGCAUUUCCUCGAUGAUAUGCAAUCAUAGUUUAAAAUCAAACUAUUAUUCAGGUUCUUCUCAUUCCUCCUCCGUGGUUUCACUAUCCAUUUGGCAAAGGUUCAAAACUGCACGGUGAACGAUGAUGGCAAAGAUUGUUCUUCUGCUGAAUUUUGAGGAGACGAAGAAGCGUACUACUAGUAGUUGUUUUGGUUACCAGUCUGCAAAAGGCCCGGGUGGAAGUGUGCCGUAGUUAUAUGAUUAUGGGUUUGCAACUUGCUCGAAUCCAACUGCUGAUCUAUUUCAGCAGCGCGUGGAAGGAGGUAGUUGAAGGUGAUUUCUUCCCAAGCUGUCUAACUUUUGAAAACAAUUCCUCAGCAGUUGUUCUCCAUAUAUCAUUAUUCUUUUCUAGAAUUGUCGAUUUACAGUUGUGUUGCUACUGCUUUAUUCUGAGGCUUUCUCAUUAGGUGCUCAGAGAAGGAUUACGGUGUUCUUCCUGAAGUUUCCAAAUGGGCUAUCUUUUUAGUUACUGGUAAAAUGUUUUUAGCCUCGCUGUAUCUCUGCUAUUCUGGAAGAUGGAGAAAUUUUUUGUGUUUUGCGGUAUCCAAAAUUGGAUGGAGACCUGAAAUGUCCAUUCUCUUGGAGGGGCUGAUAUUGCAAUUACAUAGAUUGAAUUUAUUUGGAAUCCAUAAUCCACAUGUUUAAGUAGUGUGACACUGUGACGUCGAGAACUUCAGUGGUGGUUUUAUUCUGUAAUCGAAUUAUGGAAUGUUUUGACGGGCGUGCAAAGUA